rnacentral:rRNA from 1 species
CUAAAUACUCUCUAGUGACCGAUAGUGAACCAGUACCGUGAGGGAAAGGUGAAAAGCACCCCGGAAGGGGAGUGAAAUAGAACCUGAAACCGUGUGCUUACAAGUAGUCAGAGCCCGUUAAUGGGUGAUGGCGUGCCUUUUGUAGAAUGAACCGGCGAGUUACGAUUUGAUGCAAGGUUAAGCAGUAAAUGUGGAGCCGUAGCGAAAGCGAGUCUGAAUAGGGCGUUUAGUAUUUGGUCGUAGACCCGAAACCAGGUGAUCUACCCUUGGUCAGGUUGAAGUUCAGGUAACACUGAAUGGAGGACCGAACCGACUUACGUUGAAAAGUGAGCGGAUGAACUGAGGGUAGCGGAGAAAUUCCAAUCGAACCUGGAGAUAGCUGGUUCUCUCCGAAAUAGCUUUAGGGCUAGCCUCAAGUGAUGAUUAUUGGAGGUAGAGCACUGUUUGGACGAGGGGCCCCUCUCGGGUUACCGAAUUCAGACAAACUCCGAAUGCCAAUUAAUUUAACUUGGGAGUCAGAACAUGGGUGAUAAGGUCCGUGUUCGAAAGGGAAACAGCCCAGACCACCAGCUAAGGUCCCAAAAUAUAUGUUAAGUGGAAAAGGAUGUGGCGUUGCCCAGACAACUAGGAUGUUGGCUUAGAAGCAGCCAUCAUUUAAAGAGUGCGUAAUAGCUCACUAGUCGAGUGACACUGCGCCGAAAAUGUACCGGGGCUAAACAUAUUACCGAAGCUGUGGAUUGUCCUUUGGACAAUGGUAGGAGAGCGUUCUAAGGGCGUUGAAGCAUGAUCGUAAGGACAUGUGGAGCGCUUAGAAGUGAGAAUGCCGGUGUGAGUAGCGAAAGACGGGUGAGAAUCCCGUCCACCGAUUGACUAAGGUUUCCAGAGGAAGGCUCGUCCGCUCUGGGUUAGUCGGGUCCUAAGCUGAGGCCGACAGGCGUAGGCGAUGGAUAACAGGUUGA